rnacentral:rRNA from 1 species
UACAUGCAAGUCGAACGAGUUCUGAUUAUUGAAGGGUGCUUGCAUCUUGAUUUAAUUUUGAACGAGUGGCGGACGGGUGAGUAACACGUGGGUAACCUGCCCUUAAGUGGGGGAUAACAUUUGGAAACAGAUGCUAAUACCGCAUAAAUCCAAGAACCGCAUGGUUCUUGGCUGAAAGAUGGCGUAAGCUAUCGCCUUUGGAUGGACCCGCGGCGUAUUAGCUAGUUGGUGAGGUAACGGCUCACCAAGGCAAUGAUACGUAGCCGAACUGAGAGGUUGAUCGGCCACAUUGGGACUGAGACACGGCCCAAACUCCUACGGGAGGCAGCAGUAGGGAAUCUUCCACAAUGGACGCAAGUCUGAUGGAGCAACGCCGCGUGAGUGAAGAAGGCUUUCGGGUCGUAAAACUCUGUUGUUGGAGAAGAAUGGUCGGCAGAGUAACUGUUGCCGGCGUGACGGUAUCCAACCAGAAAGCCACGGCUAACUACGUGCCAGCAGCCGCGGUAAUACGUAGGUGGCAAGCGUUAUCCGGAUUUAUUGGGCGUAAAGCGAGCGCAGGCGGUUUUUUAAGUCUGAUGUGAAAGCCCUCGGCUUAACCGAGGAAGUGCAUCGGAAACUGGGAAACUUGAGUGCAGAAGAGGACAGUGGAACUCCAUGUGUAGCGGUGAAAUGCGUAGAUAUAUGGAAGAACACCAGUGGCGAAGGCGGCUGUCUGGUCUGUAACUGGCGCUGA